UUGUUGGUAAGGUAAAAGCUUACCAAGGCUUCGAUCAGUAGCUGGUCUGAGAGGACGACCAGCCACACUGGGACUGAGACACGGCCCAGACUCCUACGGGAGGCAGCAGUGGGGAAUUUUGGACAAUGGGGGCAACCCUGAUCCAGCCAUGCCGCGUGAGUGAAGAAGGCCUUCGGGUUGUAAAGCUCUUUCAGCCGGAACGAAACGGUUACGGAUAACACCCGUGACUACUGACGGUACCGGAAGAAGAAGCACCGGCUAACUACGUGCCAGCAGCCGCGGUAAUACGUAGGGUGCGAGCGUUAAUCGGAAUUACUGGGCGUAAAGCGUGCGCAGGUGGUUUUGUAAGUCAGAUGUGAAAGCCCCGGGCUCAACCUGGGAACUGCGUUUGAAACUACAAGACUAGAGUGUGGCAGAGGGGGGUGGAAUCCCGCGUGUAGCAGUGAAAUGCGUAGAGAUGUGGAGGAACACCGAUGGCGAAGGCAGCCCCCUGGGUCAACACUGACGCUCAGGCACGAAAGCAUGGGGAGCAAACAGGAUUAGAUACCCUGGUAGUCCAUGCCCUAAACGAUGUCAACUAGUUGUCGGGCCUUUACGGGCUUGGUAACGUAGCUAACGCGUGAAGUUGACCGCCUGGGGAGUACGAUCGCAAGAUUAAAACUCAAAUGAAUUGACGGGGACCCGCACAAGCGGUGGAUUAUGUGGAUUAAUUCGAUGCAACGCGAAAAACCUUACCUACCCUUGACAUGUAUCGAAGCCCGCAGAAAAGCGGGGGUGCCCGAAAGGGAACGAUAACACAGGUGCUGCAUGGCUGUCGUCAGCUCGUGUCGUGAGAUGUUGGGUUAAGUCCCGCAACGAGCGCAACCCUUGUCAUUAAUUGCCAUCAUUUAGUUGGGCACUUUAAUGAGACUGCCGG
rnacentral:rRNA from 1 species